rnacentral:rRNA from 1 species
UACGGGGGGGGCAAGCGUUGUUCGGAAUUACGGGGCGUAAAGGGCUCGUAGGCGGCCAACUAAGUCCGACGUGAAAUCCCAAGGCUUAACCUUGGAACUGCGUCGGAUACUGGAUGGCUUGAAUUCGGGAGAGGGAUGCAGAAUUCCAGGUGUAGCGGUGAAAUGCGUAGAUAUCUGGAGGAAUACCGGUGGCGAAGGCGGCAUCCUGGACCGACAUUGACGCUGAUGAGCGAAAGCUAGGGGAGCAAACGGG